UACGUAGGGCGCAAGCGUUGUCCGGAAUCAUUGGGCGUAAAGCGCGCGUAGGCGGCCCCGUAAGUCCGCUGUGAAAGUCAAAGGCUCAACCUUUGAAAGCCGGUGGAUACUGUGGGGCUAGAGUCCGGAAGAGGCGAGUGGAAUUCCUGGUGUAGCGGUGGAAUGCGCAGAUAUCAGGAGGAACACCAAUAGCGAAGGCAGCUCGCUGGGACGGUACUGACGCUAAGGCGCGAAAGCGUGGGGAGCGAACAGG
rnacentral:rRNA from 1 species